AAGUGUGCUGAUAAGUGGGAUUCUUUCAAUAGAAACCAACAAUGAAGUAACUGAACAAAACAGUACAGUUUAAUGAAAUUGAGGCUUCAUGUGUGUGUCAAUGGCGUUAUCAUCCCAUCAUACUCGAAGAACAAUCUGAUACAACAGACUAAUCAAGAGAGGUGACGAACAUUUGAUUGCAGCGGACCCGGUCUAAGUAUAAGGAAAUAAAUGCGAGACGGCAGUCAAUAGGUUGCUAUACAGAGUGAAUUGCAAGUGGUAAUCAAGGAAGAAUGAGUCAGCACAAGCAUUGGAAUUCCGCAACCUAGACAGGAAGGGAGCAGGCAGGAGCACAAAUUCACACGGGCAGAGAUUCGGCCAAGAGAUGACUUUACCGUUAUGUGGCUGGUGGGAGCACAGGAGGGCACUCUGGGACAGAGUAUUUGCUGUAUAAAUAGGAAGUCCCAAGUUGACGCGAAGUGCCAGCUUCCUGUGGGUGGCCAGCGAGAUCGCUGGGCCCACGUGUGUGGAGCAAAUCUAGAUCACUAUUGCUGUUGUAUUUCAGUAUUUUUUAUCAUCAUGAAUAUGUAUUUUUUGUCGAUUGGUGGUCAAGGCUUGGUGUGUGAGUGACUGGGUGUGGGUGUGCAACCCCUCAGGUAUGCAGUAGAGUUAUAUUAAAACCUGGUUUUAACUGUUUAGUGACACGUGUUUUAGUCUUUACAGUUGUUCUCGUGUACCACUGCCCCCUGUCCUUUUUUAAGUUAUGGUUUUGUUGUUUGGUGAGUCCACGCUUAGGGCUGUAAAGGCGGACUAACCUUUUUUAUGUUCAUCCCGUCCUUUUGGUUUUGGUCACUUCCCCUUAAUGUGUUUAUAAUAAAUGUUGUAAACUUCACUCCAUUUCUGUCAUUGAUUAACACACCACUUGCAUUACAUUCAGCAACAAAAAGAUGAUGCUUUCGAUGAGAUUCAUCAUGUCUUCGUAAUAGUAUAUUGCAGAUUCGUUUGUUCAGACAAGUAGAAAGAAGAAUUUUUCGGUGUUACCUGCUGCUGACAGUUUUGACCGAGUCUCCAGUCUUCUUCAGAGCCACACACUCAGUGUGUGUGUGUGUGUGUAUGUGCGUGUGUAUGCGUGUGUCUGUGCGCGUGUGUGUGUGCGUGCGUGCGUAAUAUCGAAGCGAUUCACAGCCUGAUGUCUCAAGUCAUUAAGGACAAACUUCAAUCAAAUCUGACUUCCGCGUCAGUCUUCCUCAGACGGCGCAGAGGAAGACAGGAGACUGGGUCGAAACUGUCAGCAACAGGUAACACCUAAGAAUUCUACUUUCUACUUGUCUGAACAAAAGAAUUGGCAAUAUAAGCGAUGAUGCUCUCAUCAUGAGCCCGUGCCUAUUAAAUUGUAUCACGUGAGUCCGGCCACCAUUUAAUUUUGGGGAUGUGAGACUCCAAAAACCUAUGAAAAUGAAGUCUUACCUUCCUCUUCUUGCUCCGACCCUCAGCCUGCAAGGUCCUAGUGCACUGCUCCACACACUGAGAGAAGCUUUGACUGCCAUGGUCAGGACUGUAGUCCAUCUUGGCCAAUUGAGCCAGGGACAGGAUGUAGUUGCAUGCUAUCCGUAAUAUAGCCAACUUGGAUAGCUUCUGCCCAUAGGAGUAGCAAGGCACCUGCAAUUAAAUGUCACCAGAGAAAUGGAAUAAGUGAUUUAAGACUAACAAGAUUGCUAAAGUGGAGAAUAGCUUGUCUACCUUACCUUUCUGAUCAACAUGACACAAAGCACACAAAUAUCAAAAGCCCCCACCAAAUCUGUCAAAAAUUGAAUGUAGCUGAUCUCAUCGUAAAAUAAAAGCUAGCAAUUAAUUUAAUGUUUGCAAGAUGUAUUAUCUUUAUCCAGAUCUGUACUUCCAUGGUCAGUGCAAUGCCUCUCUAUAUCAAUUUCUUAUGAAAUCAGCCUGUUGAGGCGGGCUAAUCUCAUGCAAAAUGUGUCACAGUGUGGUCAACAUACGUCAAUGCUGUAUUUACCCAAUUUUAUCGCUCCGUCAUUUGUUCGCGACCUGGGCACCCUUCUGUCAUCGUCCUAUUUCAAAAGCGCUUCAAAUUCAUGAGCAGCACUGUGCUUCUUGAUGGUCCCGUAGUUGGCAGUACUUGAGGGAUAGCAAGUGAACACCUGUGAUCAAACUUGACCGAGGCGCGCCACGCCACAGUCCAUUCGGCAUCCCAGGUGAAUGGACACACCAGACAGGGUGGGAGUGUUUCUGUCAGUUAAAUGGGUGUCUGUCAGUGACGGACUAAUAAAUGAGUCGGAACUUGAACGAGUCAGUGACGAUUACAUGGACAAACCAAAACCUACUUCCGUCCGUCCUCAGAGAGUCUUUUUUUUUUUUUUACUUUCUCGUCUGUCGUGCUUUGUCUGCAAAAUGGUCAUCUAUUCUUAAGUGAUUAGUUUUCCCAGAAACUGGCAAGCGCCUCAUCUUUUUCUUGUGACUCCUUCCCAGGUGUAACCAGAGAAGCCAGAGAUUUAAGCACAACCGGGCAUGCGCAAAGCUUUUUGAUUCUGCUAAUUAUAUCUCAAAGCCACCAAAUUCUGAUAAUUUAGUGUGACUAAACAGCAAACACAAAUUAAACAUGCUCCACCUUGUCCAUAACUGAGCAAUCGAGUACGUAUAUCUACUUGAAUGUAGUUCAACUGUUUUUAAAUGGCUGCUCUUUUCCCACCAUUGCUUCUGUGUCAUGGACAUUCAUUUUAAUGCUCAGGAAAAAAAACUUGGAUUAUCUCAAUUCCAAUCAUGAUGAACAUACAGUUUAACAGAGCACUUGUUUUCUGAUGUAAAAAUGAUCUCACUAUAAAUCACUUCACAAUUUUUUUUUUUUUUAAAGAAUAUGUUUGUGUGCUUCCAUUGCAUGCUGUGAAUUUCACCUGUUUCCUUAGGGCUUCAAAAGCAGCACUGAUGGUGUGGACACGGGUUCUCUCACGGGCAUUAGCUAGGAGCCUCCUUGUCUGCUGGAUGGCUUUGACCUCCGGAAGACGUCCGGUUUCAUCGUUGCUGCCAAUUCGCUUCCUCGGAGACUCCUACCAGCAGGGCAAGUUUCACGUCAGAUACUGUUUAUCAAUCUGGUGAAACCUAGCAUAAUUUCUCAAGUGUGCUGCCACUAGAUCUUCAACAUUUCCACUGUACCUUGGGAGAGUGAGCCUGAUGCCCUCCGUUUUCAUGCCCUUGGGAGCCCAGAGACGUUUGAGACAUGGGCCGAGGUGUAGUUUGACCUGACAUUGACGGGUCCAUGGAGAAGGUCUGGAGGUUGGGCGAAAGGCUGCGAAUGUUGCUGGACGAUGUUGUUACAGGGAAGUUAGAGCGGGGGCCUGAUCUGAAUCUGUUUGAGAGAGGCUGAGAUAUGGCUGUGGGCCAAUGGAUGAUCUCUGGACUGACGAAGGGAGAGGUGGAUAACUGAGGCAGUUUAGAAGCCAUGGUGCUCCCGAUUCUCAUGUCGAGAGCGCCGCUCUGCGGCGGCGCUACCAUGACACCCGGUACUCCGGCUAGGACCGUUGUGGCGCUGGUCUCAUGUGUCACCGUGAGGUGUUUGUGGUGUGGAGCCAACCUGUUGACAUUACAAGGGUCCAGGUGUGGGUCCUCCAGGAAGUCCCCUUCCGAUGGAUCCAACGUGUAUGUUUUCAUUCCGUCAGGUUCAAAGCCACUCAAAAGUUUUUUAGGCUCGCGAGACUUUCUUUUGAACUUCUUGUGAGAGCCUUGCAUGGGGAUAAUCACUGGUUCUUUGCAGGGGGAUUUGA